rnacentral:rRNA from 1 species
GACGAACGCUGGCGGCGUGCUUAACACAUGCAAGUCGAGCGGAAAGGCCCUUCGGGGUACUCGAGCGGCGAACGGGUGAGUAACACGUGAGUAACCUGCCCCAGACUUUGGGAUAACCCUCGGAAACGGAGGCUAAUACCGGAUACGACACAGCUUCGCAUGGGGUCUGUGUGGAAAGUUUUUCGGUUUGGGAUGGGCUCGCGGCCUAUCAGCUUGUUGGUGGGGUGAUGGCCUACCAAGGCGACGACGGGUAGCCGGCCUGAGAGGGCGACCGGCCACACUGGGACUGAGACACGGCCCAGACUCCUACGGGAGGCAGCAGUGGGGAAUAUUGCACAAUGGGCGGAAGCCUGAUGCAGCGACGCCGCGUGAGGGAUGACGGCCUUCGGGUUGUAAACCUCUUUCAGCAGGGACGAAGCGUAAGUGACGGUACCUGCAGAAGAAGCGCCGGCCAACUACGUG